rnacentral:rRNA from 1 species
UGGGGAAUUUUCCGCCAUGGGGGGAACCCUGACGGAGCAACGCCGCGUGCGGGAGGACGGCCUGUGGGUUGUAAACCGCUUUUCUCUAGGAAGAAGGUCUGACGGUACUAGAGGAAUCAGCAUCGGCUAACUCCGUGCCAGCAGCCGCGGUAAGACGGAGGAUGCAAGCAUUUUCCGGAAUUAUUGGGCGUAAAGCGUCCGUAGGCGGUUUAUCAAGUCAGUUGUUAAAGACUGCAGCUCAACUGUGGGCGAGCAACUGAAACUGAUUAACUAGAGUGGUGUAGGGGUAGAGGGAAUUCCCAGUGUAGCGGUGAAAUGCGUAGAUAUUGGGAAGAACACCAGUGGCGAAGGCGCUCUACUGGGCCGUAACUGACGCUGAGGGACGAAAGCUAGGGGAGCGAAAGGGAUUAGAUACCCCCGUAGUCC